CGAGCGCUUAUUUUUAAUAGGAGCGGCAGACGGGUGAGUAACGCGUGGGAAUCUACCUUUUUCUACGGGAUAACGCACGAAACGUGUGCUAAUACCGUAUACGCCCUGAGAAGGGGAAAGAUUUAUUGGAGAGAGAUGAGCCCGCGUUAGAUUAGCUAGUUGGUGGGGUAAAUGCCUACCAAGGCUACGAUCUAUAGCUGGUCUGAGAGGACGAUCAGCCACACUGGGACUGAGACACGGCCCAGACUCCUACGGGAGGCAGCAGUGGGGAAUAUUGGACAAUGGGGGCAACCCUGAUCCAGCCAUGCCGCGUGAGUGAAGAAGGCCUUAGGGUUGUAAAGCUCUUUCGCCGGAAAGAUAAUGACGGUAUCCGGAGAAGAAGCCCUGUGCCAGCCCA
rnacentral:rRNA from 1 species